rnacentral:rRNA from 1 species
UACGAAGGGGGCUAGCGUUGCUCGGAAUCACUGGGCGUAAAGGGUGCGUAGGCGGGUCUUAAGUCAGGGGUGAAAUCCUGGAGCUCAACUCCAGAACUGCCUUUGAUACUGGCGAUCUUGAGUCCGGGAGAGGUGAGUGGAACUGCGAGUGUAGAGGUGAAAUUCGUAGAUAUUCGCAAGAACACCAGUGGCGAAGGCGGCUCACUGGCCCGGUACUGACGCUGAGGCACGAAAGCGUGGGGAGCAAACAGG